rnacentral:rRNA from 1 species
GAGGGGCCCGCACAAGCAGUGGAGUAUGUGGUUUAAUUCGAAGCAACGCGAAGAACCUUACCAAGGCUUGACAUCCCUUGAAGCAGCUAGAGAUAGCUGUGUCCUUCGGGACAAGGAGACAGGUGGUGCAUGGUUGUCGUCAGCUCGUGCCGUGAGGUGUCGGGUUAAGUCCCAUAACGAGCGCAACCCCUAUUGAUAGUUACCAGCACGUAAUGGUGGGGACUCUAUCGAGACUGCCGGUGUAAGCCGUGAGGAAGGUGGGGAUGACGUCAAAUCAGCACGGCCCUUACAUCCAGGGCUACACACGUGUUACAAUGGCCGGUACAAAGGGCAGCUACUCCGCGAGGAGAUGCGAAUCUUAAAAACCGGUCUCAGUUCGGAUCGAAGUCUGCAACCCGACUUCGUGAAGCUGGAUUCGCUAGUAAUCGUAUAUCAGCCAUGAUACGGUGAAUACGUUCCCGGGCCUU